CAUUAAUGAAGAGUAAGUAGAAUACCUAUACGUACCGACCAAAUCCCCACCGAAAUUGUAUCGACGGCUGUGCCGGGCAGUCUCCGGCCACCGGACGGUCGAUCUGAUCCGUCCAAAAAUUCUAAAAAAAAAACCCGAGGGAGCCCGCGAGGGAAUCAAUGGCAUCCGAUGUGUGUAGGGUGGUUGGACCAAGCACCCUAUUUUUUGUGUAUAUAUACAGCGCGCCGUCGGUAUGAUUCCGGUGGGGAUUAUAUAUAUAUAUAUAUAGUAGGGCUCGAAGAGUAAGCAUCCGAUUCUGCAGGAAAUGAAGAAAGACUAGAUAUAGGAUUCCAAACCAAGCCUCUCUAUGUAGAUGAGCUUACAGAGAAAUGUAAGACUCCUUUUUUGGUGCGCUGGAGACUAAAGUUAGGUGGUUGGAUAAUUUCAAAAAAGUACUUGAACUUUUCACGUAUUCUCAAAAAAAAAAAAAAAUUUGAAUUUUAACUAAUGACAAAAAGACACUUGAACUUACCAUUCCGUUAACAAUUAGGUCAUCGCCGUCAAAUUCCAUCAAUUUGUAGCAGAUGGAGCUAACGGAAGGCGUUAACCUUUCUUUCCUUUUCUUUUCUUUACUUUCUACUUAGGCUAGGGAUGACUUUUAGGACAUGAGUAAAAUAGAUUUAAGACACAUACAAGGACAGAGAAAGUUAGGACCCUUCAAAAAGCCUUGUAGAAAUGUCCCAAGCAAGACAGACUUGGGAGUUGAUGCUUGAACAUUUGAAACCUCUCCAAGAGCGAAUACAGAGCCGCAUAUCAGAGACAACCCUCUGAACAAUUUCUUCCACGGUGCUCAUUCUCUGUUGGAAGAUUCUGGCAUUUAUUGUGUGAUUAGUCUUAUUUUUUUCUUGUUUCAUAUUUUGUUGCUAUUUCUUUUCUUUUCCGGAUUUGUAUCUUACCAACAUCUGGAGUGAUUUUGGUCAUGGGCAUUUGUUUUGGUUUUGGUUCAGCACAUGAUUUGGUUUGGGUGAGAGUGCCGAUCAAGUUGGGAUGCUCGUUCUGAGCUAUGAUUAUAUUUGAUCCAAAAGGGUGUUAUUUUCCAUUUUGUAUAAUUCAUGUGCAUUCUCUCAUUUCUGUGAAUAAUUUUCUUCUUUGCCGAUUAAAAAAACAAAC